rnacentral:misc_RNA from 1 species
GAUGAAGAACGUAGCGAAAUGCGAUAAGUAUUGCGAAUUGCAGAAUUCAGUGAAUCAUCGAAUCUUUGAACGCACAUUGCGCCCGCUAGUAUUCUGGCGGGCAUGCCUGUCUGAGCGUCAUUUCAACCCUCGCCCCCGGCUUUUGCUGGGAGCGGUGUUGGGGAUCGGCCGCCCGUCACUGGGAGGCCGGCCCCGAAAUAGAGUGGCGACCACGCCGUGUGCUCCUCUGCGUAGUAGUAAAUCACCUCGCAGGCGGACAGCGGUGCGGCCUGCCGUAAAACCCCCAACUCUUUCUGGUUGACCUCAGAUCAGGUAGGAAUACCCGCUGAACUUAAGCAUAUCAAUAAGCGGAGGA